CAAUAAGUUAUUACUUCAUAAGCUUAUCUCUGGAAUAACAAUUGAGUCAACAUUUUCAAAACUGAAGUGGACCUAAUUUAAACAUACAUGAAGAAGGAGUAGGAGGCUUCUUCUUCAAGCGUGACGACAAACAAGUCACAGGGACAUCGCAGCAAUAUUCCGAGCACGAACGGCAGCCGGUCAGUCAGCCCCUUCAUCCAAAACCACAUCAGUGACUAUGAAAAAAGGAGAGCGCCGGCAUAUGAGCUGCAUUAGUGUAGCUCGACCCCCUCACAACCCCAGUGAUGCACAGCUUCAAAUGCAGGUCAAAAAAAUUCUGCAACGUGCGGCAUGAAAGACGAGGCUUCGUGGGGAAUUAGGAUGUUCAAGAUGCUGCUGCCCUGACCUUGACUAUCCUGAUCCUACGGCCAAGGGGAACGAGAGGAGACGGGAGAGGAGGAAGCGUUCGUGUGCGAUCUUCUCACAAGUGAUAAGAUACACACAAGACGCCUCUUUCAAAGACAGGGAAUAAAGCAGGAACUUUCCUUCACCUCCACUCUCAGUAAAGACGGCUGCUCCAAUGCUUUUAGAGUAGACAGCUUGACAAUAAUCCACUCCUUCCAUUCACACUGUCUUAUCCUCUUCUAUUCAAGGCCCCAUUAAAUGUGUAAAGACAGCACAGAUGUGUGCAUGCAACCGGCGUGAUAAUCGUCAGCUCCUGAACCUGACGGCUUCCUCGUCAGCGUGCGACGUGCGUCUCACAACACCUGGGAGGCAUAUUAAUACCAACUAAUGCUGGAAUGUAUGGGGGGGGAAAACUUCAUAAGUUAAACAAACCGUGGUGUUCAAACCAUCAUCAGUGUUUUCCUACGCUACUGUUACAGUACUGAUUACUCAAAUAUAGCAAAAUUGCUAAGUUGGCAACACUGAUCCAUUCUGCAACGUCUUUU